rnacentral:misc_RNA from 1 species
GAUGAAGAACGUAGCGAAAUGCGAUAAGUAGUGUGAAUUGCAGAAUUCAGUGAAUCAUCGAAUCUUUGAACGCACAUUGCGCCCCUUGGUAUUCCAUGGGGCAUGCCUGUUCGAGCGUCAUUUGUACCUUCAAGCUCUGCUUGGUGUUGGGUGUUUGUCUCGCCUCUGCGUGUAGACUCGCCUUAAAACAAUUGGCAGCCGGCGUAUUGAUUUCGGAGCGCAGUACAUCUCGCGCUUUGCACUCAUAACGACGACGUCCAAAAGUACAUUUUUACACUCUUGACCUCGGAUCAGGUAGGGAUACCCGCUGAACUUAAGCAUACAAUAAGCGGAGGA